rnacentral:lncRNA from 1 species
GCCAAUUCAUGUCCCAAGAAUGAAGCUCUUCAGUUCCAUGGAUGACUUCUCCUCGCACAUUUGGACAGACGUCGUUCAACGAAGUGGGGGAGUGGCUGCGGCCGCUUUCCACGGGAAGCUGUCUCAGAUACUUAAAAAUGUAUGCAAAAAUUAAGUGGAGCAAGCAAAGUACUUGGCUAACAUAUACAAGCCAUACACUUUCUAUGGAGGAGGGUGAGAUGUUAGCUUAUUAAAAUUAACACAAACACUUUACAGUGUUUUUAUUCUUUUUUUUUUCUAGAGAUUCUACUGACUUAAGGGACAUAAAAAAAAAAUCUGCUAGGUUUGAUAACACCAAUACUCCAAAGUUGAUGGGGGGCAUGCCUUAUUAAUGAGUAGGGGAAGAGAGGAAGAGCUUUGGAUUUUAUGUAGGGAGCAUAGGAAACCAUCUCCAACAUCCAUAUUCCUGGUCUAAGGAGGCAUGUCAUGAAGGGGAGGUGUGGAAAAAGACCAACUAUUUUGUUAAAUGGGAUCACCUGUUGGCGUGCAAUCAAUUGUAAUAGUUAUUGCCUUAUAUUAUUUAUUAUAGAACAUCUUUUAUCCCUUCCUAUGCUUCUAUAAAUCAAUGCCCUUUGGUGUCUUGUCUCCUUUUUUUACUUUGUCUGGGACUCUGGCGAUGUUUGGGUGCAGUCAUGGCUCUGUCCUAGAUAGACUCCAUCCAGGAUCAUAGCUAUCUGUUGUUUGGCUUUCAGGGAAUAAACUGACCCUCCAAAAGGUGCACUUUUUCACCUCUUUUCCUCCUUUAUGAGUAGAUAAGCUUAUCCAUCACACAUGAAACUGUAACCAAACACACCCUAUGGCUUUCUUACAUAGUUUUUUCUAUUGAACAACCCAAGCUAUCUCUGUUGUUUGUGUUUUAAUGGGCCUCUGGUAACAAUUGGUUAAGCAGAUCCGAAGAUUCCACACCAUAAAGCCAACUUUGCUCCUUGACAUGGGCCUAUCCAUGCUUACCCAUGUCUCUCUCUCUGUGUGUGUCUCAGAGAGAGAUAUAUAGCUUAUGAGUAAGAACUCUGUUUAUGUAAUUCAUUCAGGGAACUCCUUUUCUGGACAGCCCGUCCCGAGAAGGUAUCUACACGCCUGUCCAGAAAACCUUUCCCCAUUCAUUAUUAGUGAUGUUGUUAGAAUGAAGCUAUGUUGUUAUCAAGUAUUAUGUUGCUUAUGAGGCUUAUCUGUUAACAGGCUGGCCUGCCCCACUUUAAGGUGGGCUUGGUCCAGCACAAACAGGCUGGUGAGUUAGUUAAGGCCUGUCUUGCAGGCCCGUCAAUUUAAUGGAUCAGACCUGAGCCCAGUUUUUGAUACCGAAAGCCUGACGAUCAGCUCAAGAAAGGCAUUUUUUUCCGGCAUUGACUGCAGUCGAGCUGAUCGCCGACAUUGUCACAACCUGAGCUCGGGCCCGUCGAUUACAGACCGUCGUGGGCUCAAACCAGCUCUCGUUAAGCCAGAAAACCUUCGCUUGGCCCAGCCAAAAAGCUUUCAAAUAAGAAAGAUAUAUUUAAUAUUUUCUACAAAAAAAAAAUGAAAAAACUGUUACAAAGGUCCUUAUUUCAGGAAAAAGCAUAUUAUUAUAAAAGAGCUCACAACCCAGUUGAUCUCACUGGUGUCUACAACAGACGGUUAGGAUCAUUGGAUCAGCACGACCUUGAGCUAUGGGCCAUCCAAGAGGUGGGCCACCAAUCCGACAGUCUGGACUGAUGAGUUGGUUGGGCCUGUAUAGGGUCUUAGGUGCCAAUACCACCAUAUAAUACGUAGACAUCAUCAAAGUCCUCAUUGUCCAAUCUCUUUUUUUUUUUAACUAUAAACCGGCUCGUUGGUAAGAACCCAUGGACGGCCAAAGGACUUUUUUUAACUUCCAACGCCAUAUCAUUUUUUGACGUAAUCACAACGACUUCUCAAAGAUAAGUCAACAUGACAUAUAAAAGCAUUGAGUUGUUCUUACUCCUAUCCCCCUCAGGGGGUCGAGUGGUCUCACUCCCCCUCCUAGCCCAAUUUAUUAGAUACCCGAGAAACAUCAUCUUCCCAAGAAACAGCUUCCACAGCGAUAGGCAUAAAGGCAAUAUUGAAAAAAACUAAAGAAGAGAAAGAUACGAGUGCUACGAGUGUUCAUGGCGAACACUUUAUUUGACAGGGGCGGACUGUUUAUGAAAAACACUAUGUUCAGAUUUUAGAACUAACUAAUCACUUCAUUCAAAUUGCGGACACUUGUAACCUGACCAAAUCACAACAAACAACAAUUAGAUAGAUGGAGUCGCAAGAGAAGAACAGGGCAGGGGAGCAGGUCUUCGCUUACUUUAGCGCCAAUGGAGACGGCUUAUUAUACAAGGGCAGUGCCAGACCCAGCAAGAUUGUCCCUAUCAUAAUUUAAAGGGAUAUUGCUUUAUGAUGGGACUCGAUCUGCAAUGGAUCGAACUCAUGGGUUGGAAUAUGCGUACCAAUUGGCAGAUCACAAACGAGAGGGCAGGGACACUUCAGAAUUCCUAAUUUGAAAAAUGGGCAAGGUCGUCCAGUCCAGUUUCAAAAGGUAGGUGAUUAACGGAACAACAGACAUAUGGAUUUGCUAGAAGUAUAUCGGGGGCGAAACUCCACCACAAACCAUAUCCCCGCAAAAAAGAAGUCUUUUUCGUAUGUCUUUGACAUAAGAGUGGGUCAGAGCUUCUGGUAGAGAGAAAGAUUGAAUCUUGGGAGAAGGUUUGCGAAGCGCAUCUUGUAAGCCGAGUCUUCGAUCCGGCUAUUUCAUGAAAGUGGUAUUAGGGGGUUUCCAAUUAGUGAAAGCUAGCAAAGGUGUUGUUGUCUUGUGGCUCACUCCCAAUGGCUUCCAUGCGUUUUUGCUCAUCCAAUCCACUCUAGGUGUUCUCGGUGUUAGUUCUCUAGCUCGUGCUAUUUUAUCUUUCCAAGAUACAAGCAGGCAUGGUUUGUUACUACUAAGUAAGCUAAAUAACUUAAACAUCUUUUGACUUUCACUCUUUCUUAUAUCACCGAAAGAACAACUCCCCUUAAAGAAUUGGAUAUGGUGAACCUUUAAAAGAGUAGUUCAACCUUAAAAACGAAACCAAUUAAGACAGUGACAUCGGUUAACCCGAUGAAAGAUUAGAAAGGUAAUAGGAGGAUUCAAUCCAGCUGUAGGUUUCCCUACUGCUACCUUAGUGAGAAAAAUGCUAUGUAGCCAUGGAGGCUACAGUAUAGUACUCGUAGGAGUACUAAAGGCCGAGGACUAAGGCCAAAGGUUUGCUAAUUACACUAUACCAUAAUAACUACAGACAACAAAAAGAUUGACAACCGAACCCGAGCAAAGCAAGAAAGGACAGGGGAAAAAGUCCUCUUUAUCCAAUGGAGAUCCUUUCUGUUAACAUGAGACCCAGCAAGAUUGUCCCGAUCAUAAUGGAAAGUGAGAUCGCUUUUUGAUGGGGUUGGAUCAAGAAGGCGAGAAGCUUGCCAGUCAAUGGCAAAGACUUCAAUUUCUGGGCUCGUCGUUUAGCCCUUAUUCAGUUGUUUUUAGUUUAGUUGUCUUGUAACUUCUUUUCGAAAAAAAGUCUUGCAAUUUUUUGAGUUGCGCAGUGAAGUUUCUGUUUGAUUGAAAAAGACUGAUACAUGGAGUUGUGAAGUUCUGCUAACUGAUUUCAUGGGAGAAAGGCUUGCUGAGGGAGUUAUACCCCGGUGAAGCACCCACGGUAAUGAUGCCUUUGUAUAUGAGUUGUGCAGAUUGAUGAACAGGUGAUAUAAUUCUUAACAAAGUGACAAGUCUAACCAGCUUGUUUAUAUCGAACGUUGGCGGCUCGGAGUGAAGAGAGGUCUGGCAUGAGUAAGACGAAGUGUAGCUUAGUAUCUUUCAAAUGCGGAUGGCAUGCUGUCUGAAUUCUGGACUUGAGAUUCUGGCGAGCUUCAUGAUUACCUUUUAUUUAAAUAGGUUUAGUAACCAUGCGCGGGAAGUCAGAGAUCAGUUUCUCCUUCUUACUCUUCUACUCAUACCUACCUACACACUCUCUCUUUCCAAUCAUGACUUGAACCAAGUUUCACAGGCAGUUUUUUAUACCAUGCCUUACUACUGAUCAAGGGUCUUCAAGAGAAGCAACAACAGCAUUGCAGUUCGCUGAACUCGCAUUCAUGAAGGACAGGGCAUGAAGAAGGAGUUCAUUCUGUAUGGAAGGAGGAAACGGAGGAGACCUAUUCUCGACCAAAGCAAAUAAAAAGUGAAAAAAUAAAUCCAAUCUUUGUGCAUCAUACAGCUGUGGUGGCUCGUUUCGUUUUAAACGACUCUAAACGAAACGCUCUUCCACUUCUAUAGACUAUAUACGCUGUUCGACUGAAUUCGUUCUCGUUUUGGCUCCGCGUUCAUGAAAUUCCAACACCAACAACAGAAAGCAAAUUUUUCGAUCUAAAUUUCGGGCGUAUGGAAUUCGUUCAUCUCUAGUACUGAGGGUGGUCGUAGAUCAGAAAUCGAUUCACUAAGCUAGCUUAACUCUUGAACUACUUGAACUAGAGGAGCGGUACGAGCUACUAAUAGGCUUACUACAAAAGAAAGGCUAUUUGAGAUCCUUUUUCCAGGCCCAAGUACUCUGACCCAUGAGACCGAUUAAGGAAGACCAAUUAAAGAAGGGUGGUCGUAGAUCAGAUAUCGAUUAACUGCUUGCCAGCCUAUCCCGGAUUGACCAGUUGACCAGGCAGGAAUACCUAUACUAAUUGCGACAGGAGAGACCGAUAGAGUUGAACAGACAGCUGACAGCUCGCGAUUGAGAGACUUUCCAGUUGAGUUGACAGAGGAGCGAUUGCAAGAGAUAGGGGAAAAAAGACAGAUGGCGCACAGAUUGACUUAUUGCUGCCUAUCGACCUCUGCUGCUGCCUUUGACUAAGGAAGGGAAGAGAACGGAUUGAGUCAGGACACGAUCGAUUAAGACAGAAGGGCUAGGGCUAUUGACCCAUUGACUCACUUAUGGCGCUUUAAAUGGCAAAUGGAAAGGUCGAACUCUCUUUCAGAGCCUUCCUCUUGGGGAGCAGACCAAAGUGUAUUUAGAAAGAGACCGGUUCUUUCCUCUCUUUGAAUGCAGCAUUGAGUGGUCCUAUUGCUGACGGAAAAGGCAAGUUUUCGAGUUCCAGUGCGUUCUGUACCUCUUUCCUUUGAAGGCUGGCUGACUCACAAGUAUCAACAGCAGUUACGGGCUCACUAGUAGAUUAUGGCAGUUCAUGUUCUGGGACAUUUUUGGGGGUCAAGUUACAUAACUGAGAGAGGCUAUCCGGCGAUCCAGGGCGGAGGUAAAGCGCAAGGGUGGUCGUAGAUCACUGUUUCCGGUUUGAUCUUUGUGGGGAGGCAAGGGUUUACCGAUUUCUUUUCUAACCAAUCACCAUUGGAUUGGAAAGCACCCCGGAGAGAAAGCAAACUGAAGAAGGAAAGACAUCAAUCAAUCAUAGUGGGAAGCGCCGCAAGCUGCUUACUAAGAGGGCCCUAUUUUAGGGGCACCACGCUCGACAGCAAGCAUCUGUAGCAGCAGCCUAGCUCAAAGCUCCCCAACCCUGUAAUGAAACGAAGGAAGCCAAUCGGCUCCUUGCCUCGAGACCAUAGGAUAGGGCAAGCGGUGCUGCUCCGUAUUAGGUAGGGCUAAGUAGGGCUGAGUUCGUUUUGCUCAAGACGGCCGUGUUAGUUACGUGGAGGCUAUCCCUGCUUCAAUCAGCUAGAAAAGCGGAAGAGAAGAAGGAUACUUAAAUACGUUGAAGAGGUCGAAAAGACUAUAAUAGUGGUGGGUCUAUACAGAGGUACGCCAACCGAACGGCUUUCUAACGAGGAAGAGAAUGGGAGGGGGACACGGCUAAGUAGGCAGGCUUUUGGGGUGAAGGGACAAUAAGUAAGGUCUUAGGGCAUUUGGUAGUGCGCCAACACGGAUCCUUUUUAUCCCUUUGCUAACUAGGUAUAGAACGCGACGAGUGCACAGCACAAUAAGGCAUUAGUGCGAGACAAGGGCUAGAGUAUAGCGAUGGAGGUUGGUAUGCGGGGGGGAAAGGAAAGGGGAAGCUCUAUACUUUGAUUACAAAAAGAGUGACGAACUAUAAUGUCAUUCCACGAAUCUAAAACAUGCCUUUAUCCAAGAAAAAAUAUACCCUAUUUAGGGCUUUGUUCGGUUAACGACGAGAGGGGAGUGAGACUAAGAAGACGUUCCCCUAGUGCUUCGCUUGAUGGAAGCACUAGACUCACUAUACAGGAGAACACCUAAAGGAACUAUUCCUGCUUCAGUCAAAUUCAAUGCAUUGUUUCAUUGCCUGUGUAUCAAGCUUCAAAUCGCCACUUUUCACUAUAAUGUAUGCGGGUGCAUAACAUGCAGAUUUCUGUCCAGAACAAUGGCCUUAAAAAGAAGAUAAGAGUUGAGAAGCAGCUUAGCGUUCAACCGUUACCUCUGACUCGACCUCUUCACCUUCCACCGUCUCUGCGGUAAAUUACAGGUGUAUGGCAUUUGCUGUUGAAAAUGCUUUUAUCGCUACUUGUAAACAAAACCAUCAACGUCUUAAGCUUAAGUUGAAUUUGCUCUUUCUCAUGCAACUAUCGAUAGUUUUCCUUCAAUGACCGAUGAGACGAGAUAGAAUCCCCAGAGGGAGUGAACGGAGCGAUAGCGCAGCGAGUAGCUCUGGGUGUACGAAGCGAGCAAAGAGCAGAUACCCUGCAAGCGGGGCCCCGGAAAAGGAAAAACGAAAGCCUAGGAUCAUGUCAUUACUACUCCGCGGGAAUUUGGACCGUACGAAUGAAGAAGACUGACCAUUUUUUGAUCAUCCUUUUCCUAGCCGAACGAGCGAAGCGCUUUAGUCAGGUCGGAAGAUUAAAGUAUACAACUAUCAAUGGAUAGGAGACCACAAGGUGUAUCAUCAAAAAGGGCGGCGCCGGGCAAGUCCGGUGGUCAUACCGACGAAGCAUAAGAAUUAGAAGUAAAGAAGGAAUCUUUGACAAUCAACUAUGGGGUACUCCGAGCCAACCACCAGCCCUAGUAGGGGCUCGCUGCCUAUGCCAAAUGAUCCUUCUUUGGUACUACCUUCCUGGCUAGUCUUGCCUAUGGAAAUGAAUAGUCAAACCAUCAAGACCGUGAUUUCGUUUGUUGGGCAUACUUUUGUAGAAAAAUGGGACUUGCGCCUUCUUGUGAGUGAGGACAUCCAAGUCAAUAGCUAGAGUUUAGCUGGGUGAAGAAUUCUUUCGUCCGGAUCACGACCCGGUACGCGUGGCUAAGCCAAAGCCUUUCAAGCAAGGGCGGGGGGUAAUAAUUUCAAUCAAAAGGCUUGGAGAGGCCCGCAAUGCAAUGGUUAGAAGAAACUUCGUAAAGAACUGAAGCUAGCAGGGUUUCGGCUUGAGUGUGACAUUGAUGCUUCAAGGUCGAUGACAGAAUGGUACAAAGAAAUCAGGAAGACAGCGAUCAUUAGAAAUUCACAAAUGAAAAAUGCGGCUCAUUCCGUUUAAGGCAAUUACUUCAAAUCUGAUGAGAGGAAGAUAAAAGCCUAAACGGCCUUAAUACUCGAUAUCGUGAGUCCUAAAGAUAGAAGAUGUUAAUGCAGACGAUGUUUUAUCGUCUUCUUUUUAGUCUUAUCGUCUGCGCGCUAGGGGAGAGUGACACGAAGGAAAAGUCUUAUAGGUCAUCCUAUCUCGGUGCAUGGUCAGGGUCCCGUAUGGGGGUCUGCCUUUCAAGGAAUUAGAUGAUCGUUGGUGAAAUAGCGUAUAGGUCUGGGUGGGAUGAUAUGAAAUAGAGCAGUUGCCAAUCGGCAUGCGAAACCGAGAAGGAACUUCCUUAUUUACUAUACGAAAUUCCUGUGUGAAAGAGCCAAAAUGAUUUAGCGUUUUAGCCUGGAGAGAGGACUUUCGGGUGAACGAACGAUUGAUUUCAGAUGCAGCGACCAUGGCCUGAUUUUACGUGGUUCCAUAUAUGGAUUCUGACGAGUGAAUUUCAUCCAUUUACUGAUAAAGGAUAGGCCUAUCAGACAGAAGAGGUUUUAACUAGAAUACGAACAAGAUAAGAGGAUGCCCCUUUGUAUUAGAGAAAAAUACCCAAAAGUAAGAGAGGAGGAUGCCCUAUUGUAUUAUAGGUAUAGGUUUUGGAAAAUGGGCUUUGGACCUAGUAGGGGUGUGAGGGCUUGAUUGAGAGUAUUUUGGUAGGAGACUACUUGCCAAGGCUUCGUAGGAAAGAGGCCUUGGACAAGGCUUUUUUAGGACGGGCAAGGGCCACGAGAGAGGUUUUCCUUGAGUUUGAUUGCAGGGGCGCUAACGCGCCGCCGUUUUCUUGCUUACCUUGAAUCGCACACCUUAAAACUCUAGUUUUGGGCAAUCAAAAUAAGGCCAUGAAGAGGGUCUUUUCCAGUUUCCAGUUGCAGUUGACAAAAGAGCGGGCAGUGGGGAGUUUUGAAUCCAAAGAAUUCGUUACAGGGGAUUCGCUCAAAGCAAAGAAGCUACGGAUGACCCUUAGCAGAAGAAGAAGAGCUAAAGCUAACACGGGCGGGAGACCUAGACUUUCCUACUUCAAUACCCUAUUAUUGGGGCCCACCAGUACUGAACACAAAGAAAAUCUUGAUUUGAAGUUGAAUGAAUUUCUCGAUAUCUCAUUCCAAUCUCAGGGAUUCGAUUCGCGCCUAACUCGCACUGCUUUCAAGAGCUAGCUUUCACACUCCUUAUCUAUAUAAGAUCCAUAGCUUGAACAAGACAGCUGCACCGGGAUACUAAGAAAGAAGUAAAGCGCAUCAACAACUGCCGAAGAAAGAGGAGGAGCAUAUCUACUAUCUUCCGCAACUCCCGAAAGAGCCACAUCAAGAACAAGAGCAACACGGUUUGCCUCACUCCUAUCCACCACCAAACACUCUCAAAGCAUCCAACCAAGACAGCGCAGAAAAGAGGAGAAAACAACCCGCCCCAUAACCAAGCCACUGUAGAAAACGUGGAGAGAGCACCCAACAAAACAGCAGCCACUGGUAGCAAACAGGAACCCCCUCAUAACCUUUUUCCACUUUUUACCACCAACCGUGAGCUGGGAGCAGCUCCGAAGAGCAAGCACUCUUAUUCCUUAGAAAGGAAGUUCCCCCUUUUAGGGAAAAAGGAUCAGCCCCGCUGACGCCGACUAAUAUCCUGUCGAUAUUGCCGCAGCCCUAUUUGUCGACGAAGGGCCUCUCGGAGCUGACGGCCUUGGAGCACUCGCUGCUCCAGCUCCUGGAAUUCCUGGUGGAAGCGGCUACGCUCCGCUUCCUGCCGUUGGGCCUCCUCCCAGGCUGUCUGUAUGACAGCAGCGUUUCCCUCGACCACCUCCCUAAAAAAGGGAGAAUUCCACUGGAAACUUCUCAUACUAUUGAGAAGCCCCUCGAGAGCUGGGCCGUCAAAAUAAAGAUUAUGACGGUCCAGUAUCGACCGAACCCCCUCAUGGAGAAUCCGCGACGCUACUGGCGGAUAGCCCCCGCUUCAUUAUAUACGAAAUAUAAAUCUCUUUUUUAUUUUUAAGAAAGAUUCUAUAUAUGUCCAAUCUCUAGUGGUGGUGGGACCAACCAAGAUGUAUGUCGUCCGACCCGACCUCAGACUCUAUCUUCCCGACCUAUUUGACUCUCUGGCCGCAGUUAUUUAGGUGGUAUCCCGAGAUUGAAGUUCCUCCCGGGAACACACGAAACAAAGAUAUAAACUGGGUAAAUCAAAAUGGAAAAGAGAUGUUUCCAAUUCAUCAAAAUGAAAAGCUUUUUCUACAUCCAUAUGAUCUACUAAAGUAGAUCGGUAUUGCCCAUAUAAUGAAAGCAGAUCUUGGUCCAUGGAGUCCCAAGAACGUAGGAACUCCAACCUGUCCGAUGCUUCUUCGGCCAAAUACGAAAUACAAGUGGGACCUGCACUAUGAGCAAGCUGUGCGAAAAACCGCUUCUUUUUUCCGGUUCCGCAACAACUUGGGCGAAAUGGGGUUCUACCGGGAAACCAUGGAUUUUUGAGUUUUCGCCAUUGGUUACUGGUCGAGCCACUAGAAUGGAAUGAGAUAAGAAUCUCUGGGGAUCCUUCCUCUCCACUUACUCGUAACAGGCUUUCCCUCUGUAGAAGACUUCUUCCGAAUGGCAUAAUUGUCCGACACUGCGUUCCUCGAUCUUCAAAGAAGACUGACUCCUCCUACUCCUCCUUCUCCUUUAGGAUAGGAUCGUCGUUGGUCCUUCUUUCACUAAUGAUUUAAUGAUCUCACCAUUUUCUAGUAGUUCGCGCGAACGCGCGAGGGACUAUCCUUUCUAUCGCUUGCGCUUGCUUUUAACUCUCAAGACAACGGUCUCUCUCUUCUAUAAAGCGAAGCAAAGCGCAUGGCGCUGAAGUGAAGAAAGCUCAAUAAACACACACGAACACGAUGCAGAGCAUAGCAUAAAUUAGACCGCUGAUCAUUUCAUAUAUAAUAUAUGCUUGACCUUUCUCGAUGCUUUUUUUUGGGUGACUCACCAACCGACCCAGCAGUGAUCGAUGACAGAAUGGUACGAACAAAUCAAAGUCAUUGGAUUUGGUAGUUCUCCAUUGACUGCUCUCUUUACCCCUUUGCAUAUGUUCCUAAAUGGGUGUGCACCUCCAGAUGGGCAGGGGUCGGCCUCCCACUCUCUUAUGCAGCAUUUAUUAGCUUAGCUGGGUUGGGUGGUGAGUGCAAUAAGCCUCUCUCGACCCUCCGUUUCUCAUACGUCUUUAUGAAAGCCUCUCGCCUUUCGAGAUCCGGUCCAUCAUCAACUCAGUCAGAUCUUCUUGUUUGCCCGCUUUUCUUAGGCUUCUAAGAACGGAUUUGAUCGGCAUUUCGUGCCUGCAGCCCUGCGGAAUUCGACCUUUUAUCAGCUGGUUGGGUAGCGUAGUAAGGUUAGAGGCGCAACUAGAAGAGUUGGCCCUAUAUUUCUAUUUUUUUCUCAAUUCGAUUGCAGUCUCCGAAGUCCUUCUUGAUCGAUGGUCCCCAUUAGCAUUAGUGCCAAUUAGCAGCCGCUUUUUUUGGAAGGCGAGGUACUCAUGCAUGUGUGAUCGCGGAUUCCACGGUAGCAGUAGUUCUAGCUCUACAUUAGGAGGGGGCUCUAUCUAUCUAAAGGAGGUACGGACCCCUCCCAUAGUACGGUACGAUGCAGUUGAGUAAGCCCGGUUGGGCGUUUUAGGCUUCCAUUUUCCCCUUACUAUACAAGGGGGAGUAGGAUUUGGCUUGCCCCUUGUAUAGUAAGGGCGCUAGCGCGGCUCGCUUCGCUUUUGUUGCGGAGCUCACUGCUUUUCAUUUUGAUAGGAGUAGGUGCUUGCAGCUUGCUGCUUUCUGUUCAAGCAGAGCUCGCUGCCUACUCCACGAGUCACCACAGCUUCGCCUACGCCACUUGUAUAUAGACAACAAUAGUGCCCAAGAUCUUCCCUUCGCGUAGCUCAUUGAACCUUCCAACUUCACUCCGUGGCCUGUGCUAAAGAAGCGUGUCUUAACAAAUUCCUUUGAACUCAUUUCACCUAUUCUAUCUCUCGAUAUCUCCUCACCUUGCACCUUCCCUCUCCUUCGGACCCUCACCCCAUGAUCCCUUUCCCAUGUCGUGGAAUAAAAACCUGAUCUACGACCACUUCUGAUCAAAGAUCAGCCCUCUCCUAGAGCACUUCUGAUCUUCAAUCAGCCUUCUCGUUCCGACCACCCCGGCCCAUCAAGAAGCACUUUACCUCUUCACUCCGAUUUACGUAAUUUUCGCCAUGUUGGAGUGAACGGCACACAAUCGACAAGCCAGACAUUAUUUCCAAUGCAAAAAAAAGAAUUUGACGAUCUGAUUCUGGAGGAGAAUACAUGUCCACGGAAUUAUCUCAAUAUCUUAUUUCCAGAGGCACUGUUCAUCAGAGAUCUUGUGCGUAUACUCCUGGAAUAGCUGAGAGGAAAAAUAUAUACUUAUUGGAAAGGGUUAGAGCUAUGAUGUUUGGGAUGAAUGUACCUCGUUUGGGUAGAAGCUGUGUUGACCGCAACAUACUUGAUCAAUCGCAUACCGUCUAAGUUCUUGCUGGAAGCAUCCCUGAUUACUCUCAUUUUAAAGUAUUUGGCUGCUGUUCAUAUUCUCUUUUUUUUAGUUUCUUUAAAGAAAGCGAGUCAAGAACGAUCUCAUCCCUUGCUCAGUCAGUACUCGGUCCAAAGGAAUCGAGUAGUUCGAUUGACGUAGCCGGUUAUAGACACGGAAGGAAGAUAGGAACUUCCCCACCUGCCCCAACUGCGCGCGCUUGGCUCAUCGCAUCUCUCAACCGGGUGGAAAGCCUAGGAGCCGGGAAGAAGACUGAAUCCGAGACAAGAGAGACAUUGAUGGCCUCGGAUAGAUUAGCUUGGAUUGAGCUGUCCCUAUCCCUAUCAGUCGAGUGCUAAUGCCCUCAGCCGGUACGGAGCCAACCCAGCUCCCGUCCCCGCGAGUGAGUUUUGCUGGUCAUAAAGAGACGGAAACAAGGGAAUAAGUUAACAUUUCAUGACUUUAUGAUUGUUUCGGAGGCGAGAAAGGGAACAGAUAAACAAACUGAAAGGGAUUGGGGUAGAUAGGUGGCAUCGGCCUAUCCAACUACUUCUCGACCGGCCCAGCUGCUAGUCGCCGUGGCGAGGCUCGGCCAGUUGCUUCAAUGAUUUUGGGCAACCCUUACAACCACCGGGGAUCUACUUAUCGAACGGGUAUUACGGCUAAAAAAGACUUUGAUUACCUUAACCAUUGGCGGGGGUGGUCUCAUUCGUCAUGUGCCCUUUUACGGGAUCCCAUUCCCUUCUUAAUCUGUCCUAGCCCGAUUCAUGAGUAGAAGGGGCUUCCUAGCCCAAUUCAAUAGGGAUUCGAAAGAAAAAGAGAGAGUCCCGCUUGGAGAUAUGUAAUAUCGUCGGAUGAAACAACCUCAGAUUCUGUGCUCGCAGCGUCUCCUUCUCUUCUCAAAGAAUAGGGAUUUAAGAAUAGGUAUAUUCUCAAAGACUCGUUUUUAUCAAUGAUAGAAAUUGAAUUCUUCCUAUAUUUACUGGAUCGUGAGCAACAAAAGACCUUACUUCCUGCCCACUGUCGAUGAAUAAUGCUUCGAAACCGACUUCCUACUCCCCCUACUGAGCUUCCUUAUAGUGCUUGAAACCGCUUUGCUACAGCUCACAACUUACUAUCUGGUGAGCUACGUACCUCCUUCACUGCCUGAACCUGCUAACUACUUGACUGGCUAUCUAUCUAUUAUCAGUCUUUCUUUGAGCUUAACCUUCUCACGACUUACUAUCUCUAACCCUACUUCAAGAGCCUAGCUUUCUUACUGCUGCCUUUAGCCUAUAUAUAUAUAUAUAACUAUUAUUUUCAAAAACUCUCUUCUCUGUCUACGCUCGUUCCUGCCCUAUGAGAGAAAGAAGGAUGGCUUCGAGUAGUGCUGUGAUCUGAAGUCGGCGCAUUGACAGUGUUCCUUCACCAGAUGAUGUACCCGAUUUACGGCACCCGGUUCCUCAGCGUUUUCACCCUCUUCCGACUGAAAAUCACAUCUACUAUUAGAUUGAGAUAUAGAAUAGAUAGAAUUCGACAUCUCUUUUAUACGUUAUUACUUGGUCGAUCUAAUUUGUGCUAAAGCCUUCCUUCGGGCUACUAUCUCUUUCCUGGUUCGCUACUUACUUCAACUGGGGCGCUACUCUUUCUUAUUUCAUAGAUCCAUCUCCUAUUGAAAGUGAGAAUUGGAUUACCUAUUGAAAGUGAGAAUGGAAUUACCUUAAGCUCACUUCCGGAUAUUAGCUUAGCUACUUACGUAGCCUCGGGUAUUCCCGCUGUGGAUGGUAGCCUCGGUUUCCGCUCUAUCGAUUUUCACUUCAUUCCUGGGUUGCUAGAAAACAUCCUUCUUCUUAUCGAUGUGAGAUUGAAUCUUGAGCCCCUUUGAUUUCCAUUUCUCUUCUCCAGGAUGAAGACCGGAAUGGAUUGAUCUGAUUGGAUUUCUUUUCUGAGCUCGAACCAUGAUGCUUUCUUCGGUUUACUUCCACGACAUGUAUUGGUCAGUCAUUGUCAUUCCAGACAUUCAUGACAAAAUACAUUGGAUUUCCGGGCAUCCAAAACGAAUAAGGAAGGCGAGGCCUUCUUCCCAGGAAGGGGAAUUCCUUUCCUCUUUGAUCAGAGACCGUUCACUCACUUCGCUCCCUCUAAAUUACUAUUUUUGUUUGUCUUCCUUCUUGUUUUACUUUGUCCGCUAAGACCCCCUCCCCUAUGUUGAUCGAGUAGAGUGACGGAAGAUAGUAUGGGCUCACGGACGAAAGGAGUUUGAUUUCGCCUAAAGAUCAAAGUAAGAAUCUAUGAGUGAGAGCUCGAAGAAAGGGCCCCUAGUCUGGAAAGUGAAUCAAACCGGAUGGUCCUACCUUAGAAGCCUGGAGAGGGACCGGAGAGAAGCGGUUCUCAGUUGUAGAACUUGAGACUAUGGGCGCAGCAAGGCGAGUCACAGUGACGUCUUAUACAGCCGAACUCACACACCUUAGUCUUCUUUCCACCAUCCUCCGCCGUAGCAGAAGCAGCAGCGGUCGGAGACCUAAGAAAUGGGGGUAAGCUCUCUUCUUAGAACGAUCAAAGCUCUUAUUGGGUCUGGGACUUUGAGAAAUAGGAAAAUGGGCCUUUCCUUUAUCCUUAUAAAAAAGAGCCCUCUCAUUAUUCGGGAAUAGAGUUGCCGGUAACCUUUGGCUAAUAGCUAGCCUAAGACAAGAGGCUAUAUCACAGGUCUGGUGAAGGUGAGGUAUUGUAAAACUCCCACUAAAGUCCUAUAGAGGUUAGGAUUAUGAAACAGAGGAUUAUCAUCAGAGGAUAAGUGAGAGCGGGCUGCCAAGGGUGUGGAAAGAGGUUCACGCAUUAGAAAGAUUGCUUCCUUGUAAAAGCUCAGUGGCAUACUUAGACUGAUUCAAAAACCAAGCAUUCUUGGUACGUUUGAUCGAGACACCAAGGAAAUAGUGUAUAGGCCAAAGGUCAUUCAUAGCAUUGCCGUCAAACGACUGUUAACGAGAGUCUUGGAAGAAGCUGUAAGCAAAAUCUCGUAUACAUAUAAUAUAUAAAGAGUACAGCCCC